AUCCAGAGAACUUAGCAGAGAUUGCUUUGGUGCCUUCGGGAACUCUGAGACAGGUGCUGCAUGGCUGUCGUCAGCUCGUGUUGUGAAAUGUUGGGUUAAGUCCCGCAACGAGCGCAACCCUUUAUCCUUUGUUGCCAGCGGUUCGGCCGGGAACUCAAAGGAGACUGCCGGUGAUAAACCGGAGGAAGGUGGGGAUGACGUCAAGUCAUCAUGGCCCUUACGGCCAGGGCUACACACGUGCUACAAUGGCGCAUACAAAGAGAAGCGACCUCGCGAGAGCAAGCGGACCUCAUAAAGUGCGUCGUAGUCCGGAUUGGAGUCUGCAACUCGACUCCAUGAAGUCGGAAUCGCUAGUAAUCGUAGAUCAGAAUGCUACGGUGAAUACGUUCCCGGGCCUUGUACACACCGCCCGUCACACCAUGGGAGUGGGUUGCAAAAGAAGUAGGUAGCUUAACCUUCGGGAGGGCGCUUACCACUUUGUGAUUCAUGACUGGGGUGAAGUCGUAACAAGGUAGGCGUAGCGAG
rnacentral:rRNA from 1 species